AAAACUAAUUAAAGAAUCUCAUAUGUUAUGCCAAGAAGAAAAUUUCGGCAUCCUUAAGGUUAAGGCACACGAAGUGAGAGCAGUAGCUACUUCGUUGGUUUUUAAAAAGAAUAUGGCCCUCAAAGAUAUCAUUGAAACGACGUUUUGGAGGACUAAUUCAGUGUUUGCAAGUCAUUACCUUAGAAACGUCAAAACAACGUUUGACAAUUGUCAAACGUUGGGUCCAUAUGUAUCCUCAGGAGCAGUAUUGGGCAAAGGAUUUUCCACCCCAUAACUUACUAACAUGCUAGGUAUUUUAAUGAAUUGGUGUUGUUUUUACGGUUUGUCUGAGAGGGUGAUUUCCUCUUCAGUCUGUGAAGUGUAGUGUGUUAGGUUAGUGUUGUGUGUGGUUCAGGUGGUCUAACUUAUCCUAGCAUGAAUGCCCGUGGUAAGAGAGGGCUAGGGUUUCCUGUCAACAAAUUGGUCCCGUCCAGUUGUCAGACCCUUGUAUUUAGCUUCAUCAACUAAUAGGUCACGUCCUAGUUGGAAGCUACUAAGGCUUAGCAGGCUAAGAGGCAGGAAUGCUGAAGUCAGCUACCUUAGCAGGUAUAUAUAAUUAAAUUCCCACCCACCUCCCCUCAGGAGACAGGGUUCAGAGAGAAAAAUCUGACGAAAAUGGGAAUGAUUCCGAGCACCAGCGCCACGGGAGCGGGGUGGCGAUCACCUGAACUACCAGUGAUCUAGCGGUUGCCGCGAGUUUUGAAAAUUCUGCCAGUGCGAACAGAGAAUAUAGCUAUAUAUAUACCUGCCAGGUAAGUAUACAUGAAACUUUGUUAUAUCAUAAUAACAUCAUGUUUGCACUUCAUAUCUUGUAUCAUCUGAUCUUUUGGAUGGCAUAUUGAAUAAGUAAAUACACAUUUAUGUAAAAGAAAUGAUCAAAAUUGUAUGAACUAUGUCUUUCAAGCACACUAAGAGUAAGAAAUUUUUGUUUUGCCUCAUGUCUCAUUGUUUUGAGCAUUCUCAAGUGGAAUAUUUAAAAAAAUAUAUAUAUUUAAUCACUUCAAAUUA